AGCAGCGUGGCUCAGUGGAAAGAGCCCGGGCUUGGGAGUCAGAGGUCAUGGGUUCGAAUCCCGGCUCUGCCG
rfam:Ornithorhynchus anatinus chromosome X5, whole genome shotgun sequence.